AUUGAACGCUGGCGGCAGGCCUAACACAUGCAAGUCGAACGAAGUCUUCGGACUUAGUGGCGCACGGGUGCGUAACGCGUGGGAAUCUGCCCUUGGGUACGGAAUAACUCAGAGAAAUUUGUGCUAAUACCGUAUAAUGUCUUCGGACCAAAGAUUUAUCGCUCAAGGAUGAGCCCGCGUAAGAUUAGCUAGUUGGUGGGGUAAAAGCCUACCAAGGCGACGAUCUUUAGCUGGUCUGAGAGGAUGAUCAGCCACACUGGGACUGAGACACGGCCCAGACUCCUACGGGAGGCAGCAGUGGGGAAUAUUGGACAAUGGGCGAAAGCCUGAUCCAGCAAUGCCGCGUGAGUGAUGAAGGCCUUAGGGUUGUAAAGCUCUUUUACCAGGGAUGAUAAUGACAGUACCUGGAGAAUAAGCUCCGGCUAACUCCGUGCCAGCCGCCGCGGUAACAC
rnacentral:rRNA from 1 species